AACAGAGUCACAUGACUCUCAGAUAUCAUCACAUUGGUUUUCGCCUACAGCCUGGGAGGUGUUUCAAUGGAAAGUGUUGACAAAAUGUAUCUGAGACAUUCUAUACAUUGGGGAUACUGUAGCCGUCUGAUUACGAGCCUGAAGAUGAAGGUAAUACACAGAGAUGUUUACUACUUCCUCUUCCUCUUCAAGAAUCACAGAGCAGUGGAGUUGAAGCCACUGAAUUAAGUAAAUCCUAAAACCCGCACGACCUAUGGACUUACAGGUAUGAGGGUCUAUAAAUGUUCCUGUUGUUUAAGCCAGUUUCAUUUGACUUUUCCAAUGCUUGCUAUGGAAGGCCUUCCAAUUAAUUGAAUAACUAACAGCUGAGAAUAAAAAGAGCUAGCCUAAGACUUCA
rnacentral:lncRNA from 1 species